AAGUCGUAACAAGGUUUCCGUAGGUGAACCUGCGGAAGGAUCAUUACAGUUUUCUGCGCUUAAUUGCGCGAAAUACACAGUGUUUCUACAUUCAAUUAUCUCCAGUGGGCGUAAGCACGCUGGAGGAAACCCAAAAUAACAUUUUAAUAAUUAGUCAAGAUAAUUUUAAUAUCAAAACUUUCAACAACGGAUCUCUUGGUUCUC
rnacentral:misc_RNA from 1 species